ACGUGAGACGUACACGCUACAGUGUCGGGCCAGAGACGCGCGCACGAGCGAGAGAGACGAACGGAGGAACGCAGGUGUCUGUCUGCCCAUCCCCUUCCGUGUCGCAUCCGAGAAAGGCGUACUCCAAAACCGACUCUCACAGGUGUUGUCUCUCGUCGACUUCGCGUCUUGCGUGUCAGCGUACUGCUCACCGCUUCUCUUCUGAACAUCAGAGUGCUCAUGUCGUCUUUCGCGUAAUCACCCUUGCCUCGUGCCACAGUGAACAAGGAUGCACCGAAAGUUUCUUCUUGGUCACCUACUCCCGCGCUGCACGCUGGCGCUGGUGCCGUUCAGUGCUUCGCGUGCACUCAGCAGCACCCCAGGUAAAGUGGAGUUGCACGUCAAGAAGCGAGACGGCACGCACUGCCAAGUGUAUGUGCCGGUGGGCAUCUCUCUCAUGCACGCCCUCCGUGACGUCUCGAAGAUGGAUGUGGAGGGCACAUGCAACGGGGCAAUGGCCUGCGCCACGUGUCACGUGAAACUCUCGGCGGCGUCCUUCAAAAAGAUGGAAGGGCCCUCCGAGGAGGAAGAGGACGUUCUGGCCAGGGCUCUAGACGUGGAGGAGACGUCUCGGCUUGCGUGCCAGGUGGACCUGACCCCGGAGUUGGAUGGUUUGGAGGUGGAGCUGCCGUCGUACGAGAUGAACCGCUCCUAGAGGGACGAAGUGGCCGCAACGUGUGUGCAUAUAGUGCGACGAAAGCGGCUGCAGCGCUCAGUCUGCAGUUCAGCGCGGAGUAUGUCGUCUGGACGAGCAGCGUUUCUCUUUGGUGUGCACAGCAUCGAUACUGUGGCGGAUGUGUUUGUUGGGUCUGGUGGCCUUCACGGACUUGUGAUUCUCCUCUCGAAGUUUCGGCGUGGUGCUCCGCUGGUACAGCGAGGGCGUCGUUGACGUCGAACAACGACGAGACGGCCUUCCAAGAACUGACUGUGCUCUGGCUAGCAUGGAGCGCCACCGUCGACAAACGGAGAGCACAUCUUG
rnacentral:misc_RNA from 1 species